rnacentral:rRNA from 1 species
UACGUAGGGGGCAAGCGUUGUCCGGAAUUAUUGGGCGUAAAGAGCGUGUAGGCGGCCCGGUAAGUCCGCUGUGAAAGCCCAGGGCUCAACCCUGGAAUGCCAGUGGAAACUGUCGGGCUGGAGUCCGGAAGAGGCGAGUGGAAUUCCUGGUGUAGCGGUGAAAUGCGCAGAUAUCAGGAGGAACACCAAUGGCGAAGGCAGCUCGCUGGGACGGUACUGACGCUGAGGAGCGAAGGCGUGGGGAGCGAACAGG